UACGGGGGGAGCAAGCGUUGUUCGGAUUUACUGGGCGUAAAGGGCGCGUAGGCGGCGUGACAAGUCACUUGUGAAAUCUCCGGGCUUAACUCGGAACGGUCAAGUGAUACUGUCGUGCUAGAGUACAGAAGGGGCAACUGGAAUUCUCGGUGUAGCGGUGAAAUGCGUAGAUAUCGAGAGGAACACCUGCGGCGAAGGCGACUACCUGGCCUGUUCUUGACGCUGAGGCGCGAAAGCUAGGGGAGCAAACGGG
rnacentral:rRNA from 1 species